rnacentral:lncRNA from 1 species
UUGGUUUGUUUUUUUGUUUGUGUGUUUGUUUGCUUGUUUAUUUGCUUGCUUCCUCCAGGGUCUAAUUGGUCAACGUGGUUUGCCCGGUGCUGGUGGUGGUGGUGGAACGAAGGGUCUUCCUGGUCCAGAUGGUUUGCGAGGCCCAAAUGGAGAGGCUGGUCCGAAGGGUGAGCCUGGUAUUGAUGGAGGGCCAGGAAAGAAGGGUGACAGGGGUCCCACUGGUGAGCCAGGCUCUUCUGGAAAAGAUGGCAAUAGAGGCCCAUCGGGUUUACCGGGACACGACGGGUCCCAGGGACUUCCAGGAGGUCCCGGAUCCAGAGGCCUAGUAGGACCCCAAGGACUUCCAGGAUUCCCAGGAGACAAAGUACACCUUUGCCUUCUCUUAUCUAACACUGGAUAGCGCAUCUUUUGACUUGCUUAUGCUGGAUGGCUAUGUGUACUUACCAUGACUGUACACCAUGAAAAAACAUUUGAAGAUGAUAAAACUAGAGUCCUAAAAAUACAGAGCUGAAAAAGUGGCAAACUGUUGCACAAGGUUGCUCUAAUGUUUUGGU